AAACAAAUCCUGAAAGAGCAAUGGCAAGAGAAAAAGCCCAAAAGACAUCCGUCAACCGAUCUUUCCAUGGGAAGAGGCUGUCUGAGCCAGAACGUAAAGCCCCAUACUCCACAGCAACAAUCAAGGAAAUCCCACCAUCCUUGAUUACUCCUUCAAAUUGAUGCCGCCAAUCAUUGGCUCCCUCAUUUCAACACCGCCAAC
rnacentral:lncRNA from 1 species